rnacentral:rRNA from 1 species
AAUAAAAUAAAAAUUAAUAAUUAAAUAAAUAAUAAAAGUAAUUUUAAUAUUAAAAUAAAUAAUGGGGGUUAAAGUAUUUUAAUAGAAAAAAUUAUAAGUUUUAUAAUAAAUUAGUAUAAUAAUAGAAAUUUGAAAUAAUUGAAAAAAAAAUUAAAUAAAAGUAAAUUUUAUUUAUUGUAUCUUGUGUAUCAGAGUUUAUUAAAUAUAAUUUAAAUAUUUAAAUAUCUCGAAUUUAAAAGAGUUAAUUAAUUAAUAAAUUUAAUGUUAAAUAAUUAUUUUAAAUAAUUAAUUGGAAAUGAAAUGUUAUUCGUUUUUAAAUAUAUCUAGUUAUUUUAGAAAAAAUUUUAAAUUUAAAUUUAUUUAUUUUUUUUUAUAAUUAAAUUUAUAAUAAAAAAAAAUAAAUUUUAUAAUUUAAGGGAUAAGCUUUAAAUUAAAAAUUUAUAAUAAAUUAAUAUAAUUGAUUAAUUAAAAUUUUUAAAAUUUAAAUUGUUUAAAAAUUAAAAUUUAUUAUAAAAAAUUUUAUUUAAAAUAAAAUUUAUUUUUAUUUAAAUUUAUAUAAAAAUAUAGUAAAUAAUUAUAAAUUAUUAAAAAUAAUGAUAAAAUUAGUAUUAUAUAAAUUAAAUAAAUAAUUUUUAUUUAAAAAUAAAUAAAAGGAAUCCGGCAAAUUUAUAUAUUCACCUGUUUAACAAAAACAGGUCUUUUUGAAUAAUAAUUUAAAGUCCAAUCUGCCCACUGAUUUUAUAUUAAAGGGCUGCAGUAUUUUGACUGUACAAAGGUAGCAUAAUCAUUAGUCUUUUAAUUGAAGACUUGUAUGAAGGAUUAGAUGAAAUAUAAACUGUCUCUUAUUUAAUUAUGAAAUUUAAUUUUUUAGUUAAAAAGCUAAAAUAAUUUUAAAAGACGAGAAGACCCUAUAGAGUUUAAUAUUUAUUUAUUUAAAAUAUUUAUAUAAAAUUUUAAUAUAAAAAAUAAAUUAAUAUUUUAUUGGGGUGAUAAAAAAAUUAAUUAAACUUUUUUUAAUAAAUUAUACAAAAAUAAAUGACUAAAUGAUCCAUAAUUAAUGAUUAAAAGAAAAAAUUACCUUAGGGAUAACAGCGUAAUAUUUUUUUUUAGUACAAAUAAAAAAAAAGGAUUGCGACCUCGAUGUUGGAUUAAGAUAAAAUUUAAAUGCAAAAGUUUAAAAUUUUGAUCUGUUCGAUCAUUAAAAUCUUACAUGAUCUGAGUUCAAACCGGUGUAAGCCAGGUUGGUUUCUAUCUUUAAAAAAAUAAAAUAUUUUA